GCCCUGGUUGUCUAGUGGUUAAGAUUCAGCGCUCUCAUGGCGGCGGCCCAGGUUCGUUUCCUGGUCAGGGAA
rnacentral:tRNA from 1 species